rnacentral:rRNA from 1 species
GUGCCAGCAGCCGCGGUAAGACAGAGGAUGCGAACGUUGCUCGGAAUUACUGGGCGUAAAGCGCGCGCAGGUUGCCUUGUAAGUCGUGUGUGAAAUCCCUCUGCUCAACGGAGGAAGUGCACGGGAUACUGCAAGGCUGGAGUACAGAAGAGGACAGCGGAAUUCCCGGUGUAGAGGUGAAAUUCGUAGAUAUCGGGAGGAACACCAGUGGCGAAGGCGGCUGUCUGGGCUGAUACUGACACUGAGGCGCGAAAGCGUGGGAAGCAAACAGGAUUAGAUACCCUGGUAGUCCACGCUGUAAACGAUGACGACUGGGUGUUGCGGGUAUUGACCCCCGCGGUGCCGAAGCCAACGCGUUAAGUCGUCCGCCUGGGAAGUACGGCCGCAAGGUUAAAACUCAAAGGAAUUGACGG